GAAUCAACUGUCCAUAAUCAGAAAGCAAUCUUGUUUUCCUUGGCUGGGUAGGAUCAGAUUCAGUAUAUGCUGUCCCAAAACACUGGCAUCUGAGAAAACAGCAGAAGCAUUUUACUCUCACCUCUCCCACCUUUCCCCUGAAGUAGGUCAAAAGAUCCUCAUUGCGAAGUCCCCUCCUUAUACCCAGAGAAAGGAAACAUCCUUACCUUUGAAGGAACAGGGACACAGGAAAGAAU
rnacentral:lncRNA from 1 species